CCAUUGGAUGAUGAAGAGAUGGUCUCCUACAUUCUUGCCGGCCUUGAUGUUGAUUUCAAUCCUCUUGUGUCCGCCAUCAUGGCACGAGUCAAACCCAUCUCUGUCACUGAGCUUUAUGCGCAGCUUCUGAGCUUUGUGG